GAGAUUUGAAAAUAUGCGUGGAACAUGGGUUCUUGAUGCAGAAUUGAUAAAACAACCUAUAAACAGGAUUUCUAGGAUGCCAAGUAUGAAACUUCAGAUUUCAAACAGUGAGACAAGAUCCUAUAGGCGUGAUUUCUAGUGGUAUGCACAUAAAGAAUCAUCGCAACAACCUACAGACAUGGUUUCUACCCGAACCUGACAAAGAUAUAUAAAAAUCCCUCCCCAGCUUUUACUAAAACCCCAUAUCUGUUUUUACAAGGAUUAUUACAUUAUUACAGACAAAUAUGAAUAAAUUACAAAAAGUUAUUCAUUACACUAUUUGGAGCCUUAGCAAGCCCAAAAUCAACCUGAAAACCAUGCCUUCAAGCAAGCAAGUAUGAUGUACACAUGUAUUUCAUCCAUAAUACACAAAUGGGCUUCUGAUGUGUCAAAGUUCCCAAGUGCCUCAGGGACCCCGGGCAAAGCUCACACCCGAAUCUUUCAAAGAAAACAAUUUUGUAACAGGUUGGAAGACCAGCCCCAAUGUGUCAGAGUUCGGAGGAGUCUCAUGGACCUAAAGCAGUGCUCACAUUGGGGGUGGUAGGACCCUUGAUAACUAAGAGUAGAAGUUUAAAAAUAGUGUAUAAGGGGGAAGGGGAUAGUUUUAGAAAAGCAGUUUGAUUGGGGGCAAACAGGUUCAAAAGACUGCAAAUAGAAUAGAAACCUCAUUUAGCAUAUUGGUCCAGGCAUAUAUACCAGUAAUUAAACAAUCACAACAUCAUGGACACUUGAAUUAUAGAUAGAACUGCCUACACAUAUUUGCAGUAUCUAAACAAAGUCUCACAUUAUUGAAGGUUACUUAGCUUACUAGUUAUCACUAGGUGGGACCAUAUAGGCGUGUAUUAAACAGAAACAUGCUGAAGUUUGAAAUAACUAACCAACAAACACAUAGCAAAGGGUAGCAAGAACUAAAGCAUACUAGUCUAGAAAGAAGUAAACAGAAAUCAUGGCCAGACAUGCUAAGGUAAACUAACCACACCAGCACAUAGAACAGAGUAGAUUAUCAGGAAUUAAGGCAUACUAGUUAGGAAGAAAGCAAACAGGAAACAUAUGGCAAACAGAAGCAUAUCGAGGUUUGAAGUAAACUAAUCAUAUAAUCCUAUGGAACAGAACAAGACAACAAGAACUAAAGCAUAACAAUUGAGAAAGAGAUGGUCAAGAAUCGUGUAUCAAACAGAAGCAUGUUGAGGUCUGUGAUAAAACUGACUACAUAAGCAUAUAGAAUAAAACAAGAUAACAGGAAUUAAGGCAUACUAGUUAGGGAGAAAGUAAACAGGAAGGUGAAGGAAAUUGGAAUCCAAGAGUCUAGCCUUGGCUUUCAUCCGGCUAGACAAUGCAGCAAAUCGGAGUGAUAGAAAGAACUCAAAUUGUGUGAGUGUAAGUGUGUAGGUGUGAGCUUGUGUGUCUCAGCGUGUAUUUGAAAAUCAGAACAAUGAAGAGUUUUAUAGCAUAUAGUAGAGUAAAACCAAAUAAGGUAGGAGAAUCAAUGGUACACAAAUAAGGCAAAGAAAUCAGUUAAUCAAUCAAUUAGGGUUAAACACAAAUCACUUAAUAGGACAGAAUUACAGAAUUAUUACUUAGGCUAAGGAGAAUCUUAUACGAAAUCAAUUAGCAGACAAGAUUGAGGUUUAAUAAGGUAAGUAAUAAGUCUAGAAAGCAUUCAAAGGUUAGUCAUAACAAUCAAGGCCUAGAAAUCAGGUCAGUGAUAUAAUUAAAGAAAGCAGUACCAAUUACGAGUCACAUAUAAGGAAAGAAUAGAUAAAAAUCUCAGAGAGAUACCAAUUUUAAAAGAAAAUAUAAUUUCAAACCUUAAUUAGGCAAAUAAAUCAAUUAAUCAAUUUAUUUGACAAAGCCGAAGUGAACGGGCAAAUAAUUUAGCAAGCAGUAGAAUAAUUAGAAACCCUAGGGCAUAAAGUCAUAGGGAUGAAAAUCAGGAAGAAAAUUGGAGUUAAACACUAAAACAUUUUAAAAUAUUUUUGCAGAAGCUUCUUUUUAAAAAAAAAAUUGAAAACCCUAGAUUUUAAGGAAAAAACAAAAAUUGGUUACCAAUAAUAGGGAAAACGGCAUAAUCUUAAUGGAAAAGUAACAAACAAACUCAAACCUCUUCAGAUCUAAAGAGAUCUGAACGGAUUUAGCCAGAAAUGGUUAGGAUAUAUAAAAAAUAAACAGAGGUGAGAAAAAUCUGGUUUGAACCACAGAUUUGAAGCCAUAAACAUGAAGAUAUUAGUACUCACAGACAUAGGAAUGAACACAGACGGAUUUAUCGAGAACAUGAGGUGUUUGAACCAAAUCAGGUUCGAAUCUCUUUGAGAUUCCAUCAAGCAAUACGAAAAUCAUAACACCAGUAGAGAUAGGAGGCCGGAUAGGACCCACGAUCGAAGAGAAAUGCCAUGGAUUGAAGGGGUUUAGGUGACGGCGGGUUAGGGUUAGAGAAGGUUGAGAGAGAAGAGAAGAGGAAGGGAUUCAGGGGCGGC
rnacentral:lncRNA from 1 species